UCUUUCUACCAUAGUACAAAUAAAACUAAAAUGACACAGAAAAGAUAAGCAUUGUCUCUGUGCAAGGAUGACACACAAACUUGUGCAGCAUUCACAUUUUGA